rnacentral:rRNA from 1 species
UACUAUGUUACGACUUAUCUUAUUUUAAAAAUAAGAGUGACGGGCGAUGUGUACAUAUUUUAGAGCUAAAAUCAAACUUUUAUUCUUUAAAAUUUUACUAUCAAAUCCAUUUUCAUUAAAUAUUUCAAAUUUAAAUUCAUUUAAAUAAAUUUAUUGUAACCCAUCUCUCCUUAAAUAUAAGCUACACCUUGAUCUGAUAUACAUUCUAAUAAAAAUUAUUGAAAAUUAUUAUUCUAAUAAAAUAUUCUGAUAACGACGGUAUAUAAACUGAAAACAAAUUUAAGUAAGGUACAUCGUGGAUUAUCAAUUAUAGAACAGGUUCCUCUGAAUAGACUAAAAUACCGCCAAAUUUUUUAAGUUUCAAGAACAUAACUAAUACUACUUUGAUGUUUAAAUUUAAAUUUAUAAUAAUAGGGUAUCUAAUCCUAGUUUA